AACUUAGGGUCCAUGGAGGACAUGACUAUUUCUGUCCUUUGUUUCUCUUCCUUCCCUGUCUUUGUGUCUCAUCUGUUCUUCCCUCUAUUUCUUUCCGUGCUGCAACUCCCAAAUCAUAACCCCUGUGAUCUUCACUCCCUCCCACUGUUACAAUUGAUUAAAUGACCAGCGAUUAAAUAAUUCAUGUUGCAACAGAUGUGUGAACUCAUUGGGCUUUAGACCUGAAACUCCAGAUUGGGGUGGGGAAAAUGUAACACUUAAGUCACGGUGUGAUGAGGUUUACAGACCUCUUGUUGAGACUCCGGGAGUGAUGGAGAAGUAUUGGUCCAAGAUGGCCCUGUUUCUCAGCAGCUGCAGAACAUGCUCCAAAUGUUAAGACCUGCUUAAUGGGGACUCUAGCAAUCAAGCUGGGGAAGAGUGAAGAAGGGGUUGUUUGCAGGAAGCAAGCCAGUUAGUAGCUUCUUGGACAGAGAACUUUACAGGGAAAGGCUCUGGCUGUGACUAAGGCUCUGAGAAUCAAAAUAUAUGCCAUGUGGGCCACACAGAAACAACAUGUAGGCAGAAUCCAGUCAAUGGGCCUAUGUUUGACACCCCUGCUCUAUACCGUGUGAGCUACACAAUUGAAUAAAGUUGAGGAUUCUGCAAUAUGUUCCUUUCUCCCCUGCCAACCCUGAUCAGCAAAGGCCCAGCAGGAAGGGGCUACUUCUAUAAAAGCCCGACCUGGAAAUGUUUCUGGAAACCCUAAAAAUUGUAAUUAAGACAUGUAAUGUCCUAAACAGCAUUUUUUUGACAACCUUUUUGUUUGAAUUCCCACCCCAAAUUCACAUUAGCUUGUACUCCACUGUGUUGUGAUACCACCUCUGCCGUGAUGGAGAAUGAAGCCAGGCCCCAGGGGGUCAGGUAUAUGGUAUGAAUCUUUAGUCCAUGCUGUUGUUCUGAGAAGGACUUUUAAAGAUGAAUUUAUGUACCGAAGGUUAUAACAACAAAUUGUCAAUACGUCUCAUAACUGCACCAUUUGCUAAUAAUAAUAAUAAUAAAUAAUCUACCACGUACAUGACCCCUAUGGAGAAACUCCAAUCAGAACUCCCCAGUCACUGUGAAGUCAAAGCAGCACAGAAGUUAUCUGGCAUGAGCAUCUGCAUGGCCAAACAACAAUUAUUUCAAUCAUGUGUAGUAAAUGUCCUUUUGUUUUAAGGCAUUCUGUAUAUAGGCAUACAAUUAGUCUACCUUUUCAAAAACCUCUUUUAGGUCAUCUUUUCAAAAUGGAAAAACUGCCAUGUCUUGCAUGAUCUCAGUGGAAAUGUGUUAACAUGUGACAUCUGUCAAAGCACAUG